rnacentral:rRNA from 1 species
AGCCGCCGCGGUAACACCGGCGGCCCGAGUGGUGAUCGUGAUUAUUGGGUCUAAAGGGUCCGUAGCCGGUUUGGUCAGUCCUCCGGGAAAUCUGAUUGCUCAACUAUUAGGCUUUCGGGGGAUACUGCCAGACUUGGAACCGGGAGAGGUAAGAGGUACUACAGGGGUAGGAGUGAAAUCUUGUAAUCCCUGUGGGACCACCUGUGGCGAAGGCGUCUUACCAGAACGGGUUCGACGGUGGGGGACGAAAGCUGGGGGCACGAACCGGAUUAGAUACCCGGGUAGUCCCAGCCGUAAACGAUGCUCGCUAGGUGUCAGGCAUGGCGCGACCGUGUCUGGUGCCGCAGGGAAGCCGUGAAGCGAGCCACCUGGGAAGUACGGCCGCAAGGCUGAAACUUAAAGGAAUUGGCGGGGGAGCACAACAACGGGUGGAGCCCUGCGGUUUAAUUGGACUCAACGCCGGACAACUCACCGGGGGCGACAGCAAUAUGUAGGCCAAGCUGAAGACUUUGCCUGAAUCGCUGAGAAGUGGUGCAUGG